rnacentral:rRNA from 1 species
GGGGGUACCCGAGGGGCGCUCCGAACCCCUGUGACAUACCUUAUGUUGCCUCGGCGGAUCAGCCCGCGCCCCGUAAAAAGGGACGGCCCGCCGCAGGAACCCUAAACUCUGUUUUUAGUGGAACUUCUGAGUAUAAAAAACAAAUAAAUCAAAACUUUCAACAACGGAUCUCUUGGUUCUGGCAUCGAUGAAGAACGCAGCAAAAUGCGAUAAGUAAUGUGAAUUGCAGAAUUCAGUGAAUCAUCGAAUCUUUGAACGCACAUUGCGCCCGCCAGUAUUCUGGCGGGCAUGCCUGUUCGAGCGUCAUUUCAACCCUCAAGCCCAGCUUGGUGUUGGGAGCUGCAGUCCUGCUGCACUCCCCAAAUACAUUGGCGGUCACGUCGAGCUUCCAUAGCGUAGUAAUUUACACAUCGUUACUGGUAAUCGUCGCGGCCACGCCGUUAAACCCCAACUUCUGAAUGUUGACCUCGGAUCAGGUAGGAAUACCCGCUGAACUUAAGCAUAUCAAUAAGCGGAGGAAUCCG